rnacentral:misc_RNA from 1 species
AGACAGCAUGCAUGCAUGCUGUCUUU